rnacentral:rRNA from 1 species
GAUGAACGCUGGCGGCGUGCCUAAUACAUGCAAGUCGAGCGAACGGACGAGAAGCUUGCUUUUCUGAUGUUAGCGGCGGACGGGUGAGUAACACGUGGAUAACCUACCUAUAAGGCUGGGAUAACUUCGGGAAACCGGAGCUAAUACCGGAUAAUAUUUUGAACCGCAUGGUUCGAAAGUGAAAGACGGUCUUGCUGUCACUUAUAGAUGGAUCCGCGCUGCAUUAGCUAGUUGGUAAGGUAACGGCUUACCAAGGCAACGAUGCAUAGCCGACCUGAGAGGGUGAUCGGCCACACUGGAACUGAGACACGGUCCAGACUCCUACGGGAGGCAGCAGUAGGGAAUCUUCCGCAAUGGGCGAAAGCCUGACGGAGCAACGCCGCGUGAGUGAUGAAGGUCUUCGGAUCGUAAAACUCUGUUAUUAGGGAAGAACAUAUGUGUAAGUAACUGUGCACAUCUUGACGGUACCUAAUCAGAAAGCCACGGCUAACUACGUG